rnacentral:pre_miRNA from 1 species
UAGGCCACCAUUUCUCAAACUGUGUGUGUGUCUAGGCCACCCAGUUUCAGAAAUGCUGGCCUAGACACACACAGUUUGAGAAAUGGUGGCC